rnacentral:SRP_RNA from 1 species
UCGUGCUAGAUGGGGAGUUAGCGGUGCCCUGUACUCGCAACCCGCUUUAGCGAGGUCGAAUUCCCGCUUGAGGUUUCGCGGAACAGGUGCAGCCCCGGAUUUGCCGACGUUGAUGGUUGGGUCCUCCGCAACCGGAUAUUGCCCAACCCCGUCAGGCCCGGAAGGGAGCAGCGGUAAGCAACCAUCCGGUGUGCCGGAGAGUCACCUGGCCUGAGCCGGCGGUCCGGCAAGCGGCCUGCGAAGGAAAUCGAGGGCGGGUGCACGA